rnacentral:misc_RNA from 1 species
GUCUACAUUCGUGAAUUUCGAUGGUUUGUUAGAUUUGGGGUUCUUUACACUUUGGUGGGAGAUGCAGUAAUGUUCAAUCUUAUUCUUGCAGUGAAAGAGUUCUACAAUAGUUCCGUUCUGUAUUUAUACAUCAGUGAGGUCUUUGUUCAGGUUUUAUUUGGAAUACUUCUGCUUGUGUACGUUCCUGACUUGGAUUCUUACCCUGAUUACACUCCCUUACGGUCUGAAUAUGUUGAUGAUGUUGACUAUCAAGAACUUCCUGGAGGAGAGUACGUAUGUCCUGAGCAGCAUGUCAACAUAUUUUCCAAAACUAUUUUUGCAUGGAUGAAUCCUAUAAUGAAGCUAGGAUACAAAAGGCCUCUCACUGAGAAGGAUAUUUGGAAACUAGACAUGUGGGAUUGGACUGAAACACUGAACGACAGGUUCCAGAAAUGUUGGGCUGAGGAAUCACGAAGGCCUAAUCCAUGGCUUUUAAGAGCAUUAAAUAGUAGCCUCGGAGGAAGGUUUUGGUGGGGAGGCUUUUGGAAGAUUGGCAAUGAUGUUUCCCAAUUUGUGGGGCCACUUCUAUUGAACCAACUCCUACAGUCUAUGCAAGAAGGUGAUCCAGCGUGGAUUGGAUACAUCUAUGCUUUCUCAAUUUUUGCUGGGGUGGUAUUGGGUGUGUUAUUUGAAGCUCAGUAUUUUCAGAAUGUCAUGCGUAUUGGUUACCGGCUGAGAUCAACUUUGAUUGCUGCUGUAUUUCGGAAAUCUCUAAGGCUAACUCAUGAGAGUCGGCGAAAGUUUGCAUCUGGAAAAAUAACGAACUUGAUGACCACUGAUGCUGAAGCACUUCAGCAAGUAUGCCAAUCCCUUCACACUCUGUGGUCAGCUCCGUUUCGUAUUAUCAUUGCAAUGGUUUUGCUUUUUCAGCAGUUGGGCGUUGCAUCACUUCUUGGUGCAGUAAUACUAGUACUCCUCUUUCCCAUACAGACAUUUGUUAUAAGCAGAAUGCAGAAAUUGUCAAAGGAGGGCUUGCAGCGCACUGACAAGAGGAUUGGCCUUAUGAAUGAAAUUUUGGCUGCAAUGGACGCUGUUAAGUGUUAUGCAUGGGAGAACAGUUUCCAGGCUAAAGUUCAAACUGUUCGUGAUGAUGAAUUGUCAUGGUUCCGAAAAGCAUCACUACUGGGAGCGUGUAAUGGUUUUAUACUAAACAGCAUCCCUGUGGUGGUCACUGUGAUUUCAUUUGGUAUGUUCACUUUGCUUGGGGGAGAUCUGACACCUGCAAGGGCAUUUACAUCACUUUCCCUGUUUGCCGUGCUUCGCUUUCCCCUCUUUAUGCUUCCUAAUAUUAUUACCCAGGUAGUGAAUGCAAAUGUAUCCCUAAAGCGUUUGGAGGAACUACUUCUGG